rnacentral:rRNA from 1 species
CAGGUAGGACUACCCGCUGAACUUAAGCNUAUCAU